rnacentral:rRNA from 1 species
AAACCAGCACCUCAAGUGGUCAGGAUGAUUAUUGGGCCUAAAGCAUCCGUAGCCGGCUCUGUAAGUUUUCGGUUAAAUCUGUACGCUUAACGUACAGGCUGCCGGGAAUACUGCAGAGCUAGGGAGUGUGAGAGGUAGACGGUACUCGGGAGGAAGUGGUAAAAUGCUUUGAUCUCUCGAUGACCACCUGUGGCGAAGGCGGUCUACCAGAACACGUCCGACGGUGAGGGAUGAAAGCUGGGGGAGCAAACCGAAUUAGAAACCCGUGUAGUCC